CGACUCUCGGCAACGGAUAUCUCGGCUCUCGCAUCGAUGAAGAACGUAGCGAAAUGCGAUACUUGGUGUGAAUUGCAGAAUCCCGUGAACCAUCGAGUCUUUGAACGCAAGUUGCGCCCCAAGCCGUUAGGCCGAGGGCACGUCUGCCUGGGUGUCACGC
rnacentral:rRNA from 1 species